rnacentral:rRNA from 1 species
CCUACGGGAGGCAGCAGUGGGGAAUAUUGGACAAUGGGGGGAACCCUGAUCCAGCCAUGCCGCGUGUGUGAAGAAGGCCCUCGGGUUGCAAAGCACUUUCAGUGAGGAAGAACGCCUGGUGGUUAAUACCCAUCAGGAAAGACAUCACUCACAGAAGAAGCACCGGCUAACUCCGUGCCAGCAGCCGCGGUAAUACGGAGGGUGCGAGCGUUAAUCGGAAUUACUGGGCGUAAAGCGCGCGUAGGUGGCUUGAUAAGCCGGUUGUGAAAGCCCCGGGCUCAACCUGGGAACGGCAUCCGGAACUGUCAAGCUAGAGUGCAGGAGAGGAAGGUAGAAUUCCCGGUGUAGCGGUGAAAUGCGUAGAGAUCGGGAGGAAUACCAGUGGCGAAGGCGGCCUUCUGGACUGACACUGACACUGAGGUGCGAAAGCGUGGGUAGCAAACAGGAUUAGAUACCCUUGUAGUC